AAAAAAAAAAAAAUACAAGUGAAGUACUAUUUGAAGCUUACAGCUCGCAGACAUGUUUAGAUUGAAACGCUAAACUUCUUAUAUUACCAAACAGUACAGUACUAGAAAGUGAUGAAAGAGAAGUGCUUGACGCAUCUGAAUCGUCGUGGACAGUAGAUGAAUCACGAGGUUUUAUUGCUUAACAUCUGGAGUUCAUAUGAAUUAAGAGUGCAGAUGAGUCAACUGCGUCAUUUUACUCAAUAACACACCCUACACAUCAGUUGCCAGGCCGCCAAGCGGAGGUAGCAAUUAGCGGGACAGUAUGACAGCCCAACAUCAGACAUCCAUUAUCCUCCUCCAGUGUAUACCCUUCAUUACCAGCAAUUAGAGACAACAACAAUCCUGCCUGCUUCAACCCAUUUGACCCAAGAUCAAUCGGCACAAACCCUGCAGACCCUAAUCGAGUGCGCCACCGAGCCAGCUUCUCAUAUCUCUCAAUUCUAUUAAACCCUUCACAGGCCACGGUAUUGAAAAUCUGCAUCCCCAAGUAGAUUUCUGACUCUAGCUUGUCUUGGGUUAUUGCCGAAACCUCCAACGAUUCAUACAUUGCCAAGUAAUAAUGCAAAGACUUAGUGAAGCGGUCCAAGAAAAUUGGAUUGUUAGUGUCAGCUUCUUGCUCAGCUAUGGUAAAAAUCUCAGGCUUCAUUUGUUUCACCAUUGACAGAACCUUGUCAAUAGCUCCAGGUCUGCCCAACAAUUUAUGCAACUCAAAGAUCGAGUUAACAGCAACUGACCCAAACUCAAUGGGAUUGACUUGAAGCAUAAUAGCAUCAAGAUCAUCUAAACUCUCAGCUGUAAACCCUCUAUACUCAAACUGAACGCCAAUCGUCUCUGCCAACUGACCCAAAUUCCAGCCUAUUCUUUUAUGAUAGUCAGAGCCAUCACUAACCGGAGGUCCGAUCCCCGUUAACCGAAAAAUAGGUGGUCCACCAGACCUAAGCGCAAAAGCUUGCAUCAAAGCAGGCCACUGCAAACCCUGAUUUAUGGAGAAGUCAAUAAUGUGAACUCGUGUUUUACCUGCAAAGGCUUCAAGAAUUGCUUGAUUAGCUGUGAAAUGAGCGAAUCUGACAAAAGGGAAUUCACAGAACUGAUUCUCAAGAAGAAUCGAAUAAGAUUGGUUAAACUGGUGGCCGAUUCCCCAGAUUUUGUAAACUAAAGCCUCGGCAAAUAGCAUGGCGAUCUUACAUAUCACCCCGGCUUGAGAGUUUGCUAAGGAACGGAUUUCUUUGACAAUGGCUUCUGCAAGAUUGAAAUUCCUUUCUUCAACCGCCUCAGCACAGGCUAUUAGGAGAUGAAAGAGUCGGCUAUUACUGUUUCCUUGAAGGGCAAAGGAGCCACCAACCGUAGAUGAUGAUGAACACGAUGAUGAUAAUGCUGGAGAUGGGUGGUCUGUGUAAGAGGUUUUAAAGGGCCGAGACUCUCCAGAAGAGGAGGAAUCGGAUUGAUAAGGUUGGGUAUAAUCAUUGUUACUAGAAGAUGUGGUUGAAGGCGAUGUAGGGGCACCAUCCGGAGAUAAAGAUUGCUGAAAAACCCAAUGCAUCUCAGAAGAUUCUUUAUGUUACUACUUACCACAGAGAGUUGUUGCCUUACUGCGGCUGCGGUGGUGGUGGAG
rnacentral:misc_RNA from 1 species